rnacentral:tRNA from 1 species
GGCCCCGUAGCUCAGAUGGAUAGAGCGUCCCCCUCCUAAGGGGAAGGUCGCACGUUCGAAUCGUGUCGGGGCUGCCA